rnacentral:rRNA from 1 species
CCUACGGGAGGCAGCAGUGAGGAAUCUUCGGCAAUGGACGCAAGUCUGACCCAGCCAUGCCGCGUGCAGGAAGACGGCUCUAUGAGUUGUAAACUGCGUUUGUACGAGGGAAAACGCAGAUACGCGUAUCUGUCUGAAAGUAUCGUACGAAUAAGGAUCGGCUCACUACGUGCCAGCAGCCGCGGUGAUACGGAGGAUACAAGCGUUAUCCGGAUUUAUUGGGUUUAAAGGGAGCGUAGGCGGUCGGUUAAGUUAGAGGUGAAAUCCCGAGGCUCAACUUCGGAAGUGCCUCUGAUACUGGUCGACUAGAGUGUAGAAGCGGUAGGUGGAAUGUAUGGUGUAGCGGUGAAAUGCUUAGAGAU